GAUUGCUUUGCUCUUCUUGGCGCUAAUGCAUCAGGGUUUCCCCUUCAAGACUUCAUGGGUGAUGAGUUUAUCAAUUUCCCCUCCAAGAAUUUAUGGGUGAUGUAAUUACAAGUGAAGAUGGUCAUGCGCACGCUUUGUGGCAACAUAUGGGAGUUCCAGUAACCACUUCUUAAACCAAAGACCACUUUAGAAGUAAUGUGGAUUGGCCAAACAAUGGAGAUAUACAACUAUCAGUCAAUUCCUCCACAAUGUUCACUCAAUGGGGCUUCAUGGGCUCAUUUCCCAUCUCUAUUUUUCCGGAGUUGAAAAAGUAAGAUCACUCCUCGGUUCAACAUCGAUGCUCCAAGGCAUCCAAAUAAGU